rnacentral:rRNA from 1 species
UACGUAGGGGGCAAGCGUUGUCCGGAUUUAUUGGGCGUAAAGAGCUCGUAGGUGGUUUGGUAAGUCGGAUGUGAAAUCUCCAGGCUCAACUGGGAGGGGACGGCCGAUACGGCUGGGCUUGAGCGAGGUAGGGAGAGUGGAAUUCCUGGUGUAGCGGUGAAAUGCGCAGAUAUCAGGAAGAACACCCGUGGCGAAGGCGGUUCUCUGGGACGGUACUGACGCUGAGACGCGAAAGCGUGGGGAGCGAACAGG